AGAUUGAACGCUGGCGGCAUGCCUUACACAUGCAAGUCGAACGGCAGCACGGGAGCAAUCCUGGUGGCGAGUGGCGAACGGGUGAGUAAUAUAUCGGAACGUGCCCAGUCGUGGGGGAUAACGCAGCGAAAGCUGUGCUAAUACCGCAUACGAUCUCUGGAUGAAAGCGGGGGACUCGCAAGGGCCUCGCGCGAUUGGAGCGGCCGAUAUCAGAUUAGCUAGUUGGUGGGUAAAGGCCCACCAAGGCGACGAUCUGUAGCUGGUCUGAGAGGACGACCAGCCACACUGGAACUGAGACACGGUCCAGACUCCUACGGAGGCAGCAGUGGGGAAUUUUGGACAAUGGGCGCAAGCCUGAUCCAGCAAUGCCGCGUGCAGGAUGAAGGCCUUCGGUUGUAAACUGCGUUUGUACGGAACGAAACGUCCGUUCUAAUACAAGGCUAAUGACGGUACGUAAGAAUAAGACACCGGCUAACUACGU
rnacentral:rRNA from 1 species